AGCAGCAGUAUCGGGGAGUGGGGUGCGGGUCCUGCGUUUGCACACGCAGUCGCCGGUCACCUCAGGCCAGAGCUAGAGAUACGGCUCGGGAUAGGAGGGCCCGGCGGCUCUGAGGAAGGUGCGCCUCGAGCCGCAGGGCCCGGAGCUGCGGCUCCGCGGUGGCCCCCGGGGCUUGAAAGGGGUGUGGGCCUGGGAGCCCCUGAGGGCCUGAUUUACGGAACUCCCCCUCCUUUUUCUUUCGUGCCGUUCCCUGCUCUGUGACGGAUGCGCAGGGAUCGGUAGGGACGGCAGCAGUAGGGCCACUCGGGCCUGCCCCGCUUCCCGCAUUGCCCGGCCUGGCGCGCCGCCUCCGGGGCUUGGCAAAGCCCCAGCGCCUGAUUGCCACUGACCAGUGCUUGGAAGUCCUUUACCGAUUGCCGGUCAGCGUCCCGCAGGGAGGAUUUUGCGUCUCCAAAGACGCCCCUCUUCCGAAAAUAGGCUCCUCUGUGUUCUCAGUCGGGUAUAUUUUUCUGUCUCCAAACUAGAUUGGCAGCCGUUUUUUGAGAGCAGGGUCUUGCUGUGUUGCCCAGACUGGAGUGCAGUGGCGCCAUCUCAGCUCACUGCAGAUUCAACCUCCUGGGCUCACGAAAUCCUCCCAUGUCAACCUCCUGAGUAGCUGGGACCACAGGCUGAGCAGAGGGUUGCUCCAGGGGGGCCCAAAUGCUGAAGAGCCUCACGUUAGAGUUUUUCACCUCUGCGGUGGAACUGUGGUGGACUCCAAUAUCAUCAUUCCAGGGAGGCAUAGCCGCACCAACUGUGUUCCCAGGUUUCACAUGGAGAAGGGUUUUAGAAAGUGCAGAUAGCCUUGAAACCACUGGUUUCCUACCACUGUUUAUUUCAGCAUAACUUUUUUUGUGUGGAAUGCUAGCUGUGGAAGAGCAGAAAUAAAUACAGCUUAAGCUUUGAACCAUA